rnacentral:Y_RNA from 1 species
GGCUAUUCUGAGUGCAGUUGUGUUUAUAAUUAAUGACAGCCAGUUGCAGAUUUCUUUGUUCCUUCUCUUCUCCUAUUGCUUCACUUGACUAGCCUUAA